UAAAACCGAAUUCUGUUAUUUUUGGGCAAAUGUCAAGCCUUAUAUCUCUGUGGUUAUUUACUGUUUUUGGUGUUUGUAAGAUGUUAUGUGUAGCUUGUUAUGAGGUCUUUAAGAUUCAAAAAGAAUCAAGGCCAUAUCUAUUAUAGAUCAAAAGUUAUAAUCAGUCAAACAGGGUUGACCAAAACUGCAAAACCAGCGAAUCCAGAAAUUUCUUGACAACUGUCCGUGGUCGACUUUGACCAGUUAUUUCUAGUUCGAUCUGAUGCUAUUAUAAUGAUGUUAAGGUUUGUAGUUGUAUUCCUACAUGUUUUAUACACACUAGAAGUGAUAGAGAACAAAAAUGUUACACGAUCACCAAGUUAUAGAGGUCCAAAGUAGGCACCUCGAAGCUGUUUUUCGUGAAGAACAGCUUUGGCAGCUACUUUGAGGUUCGUUUUCUCCCAGAUCUGAUGUUGUUUAGAGAUUAUAUUUGUUGGAUCUUGUAGUCUUGUAUUUUCUCUACAAGACCCAAUUUAUAUAUUGUCCAAAUUCGUUAAUAUGAGAGAGUUAUUCACGGUCAAAGUAGCCCACUCGGUUCUGCCUUAUGAAGAUCUGGGUAGGCUCAAGAACACCUAUAGCGACGGUUCUGUCACUAUAGGGGCCUUUAGCGACAGUUUUAAUUAUUUUUAUUUUUGAUUUUCCGGAAAUUAAUUUAAAAAUUAGAAAAAUUAGUUUUUAAUUAUUAAAAAUACCAAAUAAAUUAUGAAAAAUUAUUUUAAAG
rnacentral:lncRNA from 1 species